rnacentral:rRNA from 1 species
GAUGAACGCUGGCGGCGUGCCUAAUACAUGCAAGUCGAGCGAACAGACGAGGAGCUUGCUCCUCUGACGUUAGCGGCGGACGGGUGAGUAACACGUGGAUAACCUACCUAUAAGACUGGGAUAACUUCGGGAAACCGGAGCUAAUACCGGAUAAUAUAUUGAACCGCAUGGUUCAAUAGUAAAAGACGGUUUUGCUGUCACUUAUAGAUGGAUCCGCGCCGCAUUAGCUAGUUGGUAAGGUAACGGCUUACCAAGGCAACGAUGCGUAGCCGACCUGAGAGGGUGAUCGGCCACACUGGAACUGAGACACGGUCCAGACUCCUACGGGAGGCAGCAGUAGGGAAUCUGCCGCAAUGGGCGAAAGCCUGACGGAGCAACGCCGCGUGAGUGAUGAAGGUCUUCGGAUCGUAAAACUCUGUUAUUAGGGAAGAACAAAUGUGUAAGUAACUAUGCACGUCUUGACGGUACCUAAUCAGAAAGCCACGGCUAACUACGUG